CAAGAAAAGAUUGGGGGCAAAGCAAUUGUUUUUGGGAGGUGAAGGGGCCUUGAACCUGGGUUUUGGCUCCUAUGAGCAAAUAUUGUUUUUUGGCUAACCUUUAUUUCUUGGUUGUUUUGGAAUUAUGAGUUCUUUUAGCAGCAUUUAUAAAUAUUUUUUUUCCCCCAAAUAUUUAGCAUCACAAGCAUAUAGUACAAUAGUCAUC
rnacentral:lncRNA from 1 species